rnacentral:rRNA from 1 species
AAGCCCUACGGGCGCAGCAGUAGGGAAUCUUCCACAAUGGACGAAAGUCUGAUGGAGCAACGCCGCGUGAGUGAAGAAGGGUUUCGGCUCGUAAAACUCUGUUGGGAGUGAAGAAAGAUAGAGGUAGUAAAUGGCCUUUAUUUGACGGUAAUUACUUAGAAAGUCACGGCUAACUACGUGCCAGCAGCCGCGGUAAUACGUCGGUGGCAAGAGUUGUCCGGGUUUAUUGGGCGUAAA